rnacentral:lncRNA from 1 species
UGGUCAGGUUGGUCGAGCUUUCCUCAGGUCUGAUCAUUCAUUUGUCAGAUGCAGUGAGUUCUAUCAUGUUAAUGGUUGGACCUAACCGAAACUUUCAGUGGAGGCCUUCACCUACUGAAAAGGUAUUUGGUGCAAAAUUAAUUACUAAAAAUUAUUUGAAGAAAUAAUUAGUUAAGAACCUACCCAUAGAUGCACAUGGGUUGGUCGAGCUUUACUCAGGCUCAUAUACAGUCUGUG